AUUGAACGCUGGCGGCAUGCCUUACACAUGAAAGUCGAACGGCAGCACGGGAGCAAUCCUGGUGGCGAGUGGCGAACGGGUGAGUAAUAUAUCGGAACGUGCCCAGUCGUGGGGGAUAACUGCUCGAAAGAGCAGCUAAUACCGCAUACGUCCUGAGGGUGAAAGGGGGGGAUUGUCAGACCUUUCUCUAUUGGAGCGGCAGAUAUCAGAUUAGCUGGUUGGUGUGGUAAAGGCCUACCAAGGCAACGAUCUGUAGUUUGUCUGAGAGGACGACCAGCCACACUGGGACUGAGACACGGCCCAGACUCCUACGGGAGGCAGCAGUGGGGAAUUUUGGACAAUGGGCGCAAGCCUGAUCCAGCAAUUCCGCGUGCAGGAAGAAGGCCUUCGGGUUGUAAACUGCUUUUGUCAGGGAAGAAUUCCUCUAGGUUAAUACCCUUGGGGGGAUGACGGUACCUGAAGAAUAAGCACCGGCUAACUACGUGCCAGCCGCCGCGGUAACAC
rnacentral:rRNA from 1 species